rnacentral:rRNA from 1 species
UACGAAGGGUGCAAACGUUGCUCGGAAUUAUUGGGCGUAAAGCGCACGUAGGCGGCUUAGCAAGUCGGAAGUGAAAUCCCACGGCUCAACCAUGGAAGUGCUUUCGAAACUGCUGAGCUUGAGUACGAAAGAGGAUCGCGGAAUUCCCGGUGUAGAGGUGAAAUUCGUAGAUAUCUGGAGGAAUACCGGUGGCGAAGGCGGCAUCCUGGACCGAGAUUGACACUGAUGAGCGAAAGCUAGGGGAGCAAACGGG